ACGAACGCUGGCGGCGUGCUUAACACAUGCAAGUCGAACGGAAAGGCCCUGCUUUUGUGGGGUGCUCGAGUGGCGAACGGGUGAGUAACACGUGAGUAACCUGCCCUUGACUUUGGGAUAACUUCAGGAAACUGGGGCUAAUACCGGAUAGGAGCUCCUGCUGCAUGGUGGGGGUUGGAAAGUUUCGGCGGUUGGGGAUGGACUCGCGGCUUAUCAGCUUGUUGGUGGGGUUGUGGCUUACCAAGGCUUUGACGGGUAGCCGGCCUGAGAGGGUGACCGGCCACAUUGGGACUGAGAUACGGCCCAGACUCCUACGGGAGGCAGCAGUGGGGAAUAUUGCACAAUGGGCGGAAGCCUGAUGCAGCAACGCCGCGUGCGGGAUGACGGCCUUCGGGUUGUAAACCGCUUUCGCCUGUGACGAAGCGUGAGUGACGGUAAUGGGUAAAGAAGCACCGGCUAACUACGUG
rnacentral:rRNA from 1 species